UCAUAAUUCAGUGAAGUGAGGUAUUUCAGUGAAUCAACAACUGGGGUUAUUAAGUUAUCAUAUUUUUGUAUUUGUGAUAAAAUAUAAUCAAAUAAAAUGGUAGGAUUGGCAUGGCUGAGCUUCCCAAUCUGCCUUCCAGAUGGUUUCACGUUUUCCUUAGUUAGACGCUUCAUUAUAUACUUGGCUCGGUCUAUGGUUUGAGCUUUAACUUUCACUAGGAGUGGAUGACUAUUGUAU
rnacentral:lncRNA from 1 species